rnacentral:lncRNA from 10 species
GUAAGUAAUUUGCUCAAGUAAGUAGUAGAUCUAGAAUUUGAACUCAGGUGGGCUGGCUCUAAGGUAAAUGCUCUUAACCAUUAAACACUCUGCUUUGCUCCCUCCUGUUCAUUCCAGAGAUUGAACUUCCUUCUCUUGACCUUACAGCCAAAGGUUGUUAUUGUGUCAUAUAAAUAUACUUUCUAUAACUAUGUGUGUUGGUAUUUAUUUCUCAUUGAGGUUGAGAAGGUCUUGGUGCUUUGAACAUCUUCCCACCUAUCCUGUGCACAACUGCACACACUCUCAAAUAAUGAAAACAUUUUUCUUUUUGAUUUUACAAGCUGAUAUUAUUCUCUUUGGAGCUUUGGUGUCUUAGAAAUGCACUGUAACCUUAAUUACAACUCGUAUCAGGGGAGUUGUACUCAGUUUUAAGGGACUGCUUCACCGUUCUAACUGUGGAGAAAUGGGAAGUUAUUUCCCAGUGGCUCGAAUUAGAAUUAAUGCACUGAGCUCUCCAGACCACAGACAGAAUCAUGAGACAUUGGGUAAGCAUCUGAAUCGGGGAAUUUUCAGCCUCCUGGCAAAUGCUUCUUUUUUCUUCACCCCUUCCCCAAGCCUGCCCAGGAGAAGUCCGUGCCUUGGGGAGUAGGGACUUGAGCUAACUAUCAGGUUGGCAAUCAGUGAAUGCCUGCUGGUGGAUUGAUUGCUAGAGUCUGCUAGAGAAGAACUUUUGAAACCUCAGGAGCAAAAGAGUGUGUGUUCUUGAUUCUAGGGCCAGAUCCAAUCUCCUCAAAAAAUUAAGACAAAGUCAGAGUUUCCCCGACAAAACCCACAUUUGGCAGUCUUCAGAAAGUUUCUAUCACCUGCAGGAUGGAAAAAUCAUGGUCCCCAGGGAAGGUAAUGGGUACUUAUUUCAUGUUUUCGCUUUCAUUGCAGAUGGAAGCAGCAGCAAUAGGAACAGCAGCAACACAGCCUCGGACCAACUGAGCAUUUAAUUGAACACCUAAUGGAGUGACACUUUGUUUCCUAGGCAAAUUUGGUUGCUAUUAACAGGGAGAAAGCACUGAUUUAAUAAUUGCAUACAACUGUGGAGAC